rnacentral:rRNA from 1 species
GACGAACGCUGGCGGCGUGCCUAACACAUGCAAGUCGAGCGGGGUUGAAGCGAGAGGUAACUCGAGCUUCUACCUAGCGGCGGACGGGUGAGUAACGCGUGGGCAACCUGCCUCAAGGUUUGGGAUAACAGCCCGAAAGGGCUGCUAAUACCGGAUAUGCCUAUGGCCUCGCAUGGGGCUAUGAGCAAAGGGGAAACCCGCCUUGAGAUGGGCCCGCGUCCCAUCAGCUAGUUGGUGAGGUAACAGCUCACCAAGGCGACGACGGGUAGCCGGCCUGAGAGGGUGACCGGCCACACUGGGACUGAGACACGGCCCAGACUCCUACGGGGGGCAGCAGUGGGGGAUCUUGCACAAUGGGCGAAAGCCUGAUGCAGCGACGCCGCGUGAGCGAAGAAGGCCUUCGGUUGUAAGCUCUGUCUGGAGGGACGAACAAAUAGACGGUACCUCCGGACGGAAGCCACGGCUAACUACGUG